AAAAUUUUAAAAGUCGAACAGACUUAAUAUUUAAACUUUUGCAUUUAAAAUUAAUUUUAAUCCAACAUCGAGGUCGCAAUCUUUAAUUUUAAUAAGAACUUAAAAUUAAAAUUACG
rnacentral:rRNA from 1 species